GUGGGGAAUAUUGGACAAUGGGGGCAACCCUGAUCCAGCCAUGCCGCGUGAGUGAUGAAGGCCUUAGGGUUGUAAAGCUCUUUCGCACGCGACGAUAAUGACGGUAGCGUGAGAAGAAGCCCCGGCUAACUUCGUGCCAGCAGCCGCGGUAAUACGAAGGGGGCUAGCGUUGCUCGGAAUCACUGGGCGUAAAGCGCGCGUAGGCGGAUCUUUAAGUCAGGGGUGAAAUCCCGGGGCUCAACCCCGGAACUGCCUUUGAUACUGGGGAUCUUGAGUUCGAGAGAGGUUGGUGGAACUGCGAGUGUAGAGGUGAAAUUCGUAGAUAUUCGCAAGAACACCAGUGGCGAAGGCGGCCAACUGGCUCGACACUGACGCUGAGGCGCGAAAGCGUGGGGAGCAAACAGGAUUAGAAACCCCAGUAGUCC
rnacentral:rRNA from 1 species